UGGGGAAUAUUGGACAAUGGGCGCAAGCCUGAUCCAGCCAUGCCGCGUGAGUGACGAAGGCCUUAGGGUUGUAAAGCUCUUUUGGCGGGGAAGAUAAUGACGGUACCCGCAGAAUAAGCUCCGGCUAACUUCGUGCCAGCAGCCGCGGUAAUACGAAGGGAGCUAGCGUUGUUCGGAAUCACUGGGCGUAAAGCGCACGUAGGUGGAUAGUUAAGUGAGGGGUGAAAGCCCGAGGCUCAACCUCGGAAUUGCCUCUCAUACUGGCUGUCUCGAGUCCGAGAGAGGUGGGUGGAAUUCCUAGUGUAGAGGUGAAAUUCGUAGAUAUUAGGAAGAACACCGGUGGCGAAGGCGGCCCACUGGCUCGGUACUGACACUGAGGUGCGAAAGCGUGGGGAGCAAACAGGAUUAGAUACCCCCGUAGUCCCCUGAGCGGGCUGGCAAGGCGCAU
rnacentral:rRNA from 1 species